GAUUUCAACUAAAAAGUCAUCAACAAUAAAGUUGUAUAACUCAUCAGUAUCUAUAACUUUUAUUUUGGUCAUUUCUUCAUCCGAUAAAGUGAUACUAACAUUGUUCACAAAAAUUACAUAUCUCUGUUAUAGUUUAUAAACUAUAUAAGAGAUAUGUACAUUUUUUGAACAAUGUUACAAAUCACUUUCUCGGAUGAAGAAAUGACUAAAAUAAAAGUUAUAGAUCUUGAUGACUUAUACCACUUUGUUAUUGAUGACUUUUUCAGUUAAAAUC
rnacentral:pre_miRNA from 1 species